ensembl:lncRNA
AUGAGAACCCUGUGCCUCGCUUCCAGUAAGAAGGUAGAGCUUCGCUUGGGUGUCAGGACCCCAGAUGAGAAGCCUACACAUGGCUUUCAGUCUGAAGGUCGAGCUUCGUCUGUGUGUCAGGACACCAGAUGGGAAGCCAGCACCUGGCUUCACAUCUGGAGGUGGACCUUCUCUGGGGCAUUAGGCCACCAGAUGAGAAGCCUGCACCUGGCUUUCAGUCUGAAUGUGGAGCUCGGCUGGGUGUCAACACACCAGAUGAGAAGCCUGCACCUGGAUUUCAGUCUGCAGGUAGAUCUCACCAGGGUGUCAGGACACCAGAUGAGAAGCCUGCACCUGGUUUUCACUCUGAAGGUGGAGCUUCACCUGGGUGUCAGGACACCAGAUGAGAAUCCUGCACCUUGCUUUCCAUCUGAAGGUGGAGUUUCGCCUGGGUGUCACGGCAGCAGAUCAGAAGCCUACACCUAGCUUUCAGUCUGAAGGUGGAGCUUCACCUGGGAUUCAGGACGCCAGAUGAGAAACCAUCACCUUGGUUUCAUUCUGAAGGUGGAGCUUCGCCUAGUUGUCAGGACACCAGAUGAGAAGCCUGCACCUGGCUUUCAGUCUGAAGGGCGAGCUUAGCCUGGGAGUCAAGACGCCAGUUCAGAAGCCUGUACCUAGCUUUCCGUCUGAAUGUGGAGCUUUGCCUGGGUGUCAGAACACCAGAUCAGAAGUCUGCCGCUAGCUUCACAUCUGUAUGUGGAGGUUCGCCUGGGUGUCAGGACACCUGAUGAGAAGCCUGCACCUGGAUUUCAGUCUGAAUGUGGAGCUUCGCCUGGGUGUCAGGACAACCGAUGAGAAGCCUGCACCUGGCUUUCAGUCUGAAGGUGGAGCUUCGCCUGGAUGUCAGUACACCUGAUGGGAAGCCUGCCACCCGUUCACAUCUGAAGGUGGAGCUUCGCCUAGGUGUCAGAACACCAGAUGAGACCCCCGCACCUGGCUUCACAUCUUGAGUUGGAGCUUUGCCAGGGUGUCAGUAAACCAGAUGGGAAGCCUCCACCUCGCAUGACAUCAAAAGGUGGUACUUCGCCUGGGUGUCAGGACACCAGAUGAGAAGCCUGCACCUGGCUUUCAGUCUGAAGGUUGAGAUUACCCUGGGUGUCAGGACACCAUCUGAGAAACCUGCACCUCACUUUCCGUCUGAAUGUGGAGCUUCCCCCUGGGUGUCAGAACCCCCAGAUGUGAAAAUCUGCCCCCUAGCUUCACAUCUGAAUGGGGGAGGUUCGC